AAUGAACGCUGGCGGCAGGCCUAACACAUGCAAGUCGAGCGGGGUGAUGGUGCUUGCACUAUCACUUAGCGGCGGACGGUGAGUAAUGCUUAGGAAUCUGCCUAUUAGUGGGGGACAACAUCUCGAAAGGGAUGCUAAUACCGCAUACGUCCUACGGGAGAAAGCAGGGGAUCACUUGUGACCUUGCGCUAAUAGAUGAGCCUAAGUCGGAUUAGCUAGUUGGUGGGGUAAAGGCCUACCAAGGCGACGAUCGGUAGCGGGUCUGAGAGGAUGAUCCGCCACACUGGAGCUGAGACACGGCCCAGACUCCUACGGGAGGCCGCAGUGGGGAAUAUUGGACAAUGGGGGGAACCCUGAUCCAGCCAUGCCGCGUGUGUGAAGAAGGCCUUAUGGUUGUAAAGCACUUUAAGCGAGGAGGAGGCCCUUUUGGUUAAUACCCAAGAUGAGUGGACGUUACUCGCAGAAUAAGCACCGGCUAACUCUGUGCCAGCCGCCGCAGUAA
rnacentral:rRNA from 1 species